ensembl:lncRNA
AUUGGUCAGGCUUGGUCAGGAUUAGGAUUGAUCAUUGGUCAGGCAUGGUCAGGGUUAGGAUUGAUCAAUGGUCAAGAUUAGGAUUGAUCAUUGGUCAAGAUUAGGAUUGAUCAUUGGUCAGGAUUAGGAAAUGUUUACAAGAUAAUAUCCAACUGUUCGGAUCGCCAGGUGAGCACAGUUGGAUCAAUAAUCAGGAUGUAGACUCUACAUCAGCAGUUGUCACAAAGUGCUUUUACAGAUACCCAGCCUGAAACUCCAAAGAGCAAGCAACAACUGGGUAGGCUAGGAACAAUCAUGUGGGAGCAGUGGCAGCUGGAAUCAUCAGGCAGCAACUUGAUCUGCAACACAACCAGGAGGACUAUGGACAGGGACAGCUACGUGGUCCUGGUAGUCCCAAAGUGUGAUCCUGGUAGUCCUGAGGUGUGGUCCUGGUAGUCUUGAGGUGUGGUCCUGGUAGUCCUGAGGUGCGGUCCUAGUAGUCCUGAGGUGUGGUCCUGGUAGUCUUGAGGUGUGGUCCUGGUAGUCCUGAGGUGUGGUCCUGGUAGUCCUGAGGUGCGGUCCUAGUAGUCCUGAGGUGUGGUCCUGGUAGUCGUGAGGUAUGCUCCUGGUAGUCCUGAGGCGUGGUCAAAGAGCUCAUGUUCAAGAGCUUCAAGUUGAAACUGAACAGGACACAAGGAAAGUUUAGAGAGUGCAUUCGCUGGAUUUACAAAGGAGAACUGACCCUACUCUUCCGGCACAAUAAUAUAACAGCGUAAAACCUCGGGGCUGAGACAGGGGUGUCCAGUGACACUGUGGCCCUAUCCGAAGGAAAUCCCAGACAGGGCCCACCAGGAAUGAUGCCACAAAGGCACUUCCAAGAACAUAGAGCUCAAACAAGAGGAAGCCACAGAGAAGCCAACAAAUACUUUGAAAGAGCAGCAGAGUUCAGUGACUCUGAGUGCAGUAACGGUGCCCUAGUCAACCAUAUCAAAAACCUGCAUGAAAUAAU